rnacentral:misc_RNA from 1 species
CGUAAAUAUUAUUUUUUUGUUUCCCUUUUGACAAUUUUUUUUCGUUAAUUUUCACCGACAGUGCACUUAUGUUUGUUUUUAUAUUUGAUAGCUUAUUUUCAUUGCUUAUAAAGAGUGCAAGUAAAAAAACCACAGAAAUGUAUAUUUUGACAAUUUCUUCUAUAACAUUUUUGACAUUCUUGUAUUGUGAAUUUUUGGCGGACUUUUUACAACUUUCGCGCUGUCGUUGGCCAACUUUUGAAACAAAAAGCUUAAAAAAGGAAAAUGAAUUAAGAGCCAUGAUAAUUGCAGACACCCAUCUAAUUGGCCCAGUACAUGGCCACUGGCUGGACAGAUUAUAUAGGGAAUGGCAUAUGCAUCGGAGUUUUCAGGCCUCUAUGCGUCUCUUCGAACCUGAUGUUGUUUUUGUGUUGGGUGAUCUCUUCGAUGAAGGAGAUUUUGUAAAUAGUCAUGAUUUCGAACAAUAUGUCGAGCGCUUCCAUCGUAUUUUUAAGACACCAAACAAUGUGUCUAUUAUUAGUGCUGUGGGCAAUCAUGACAUUGGUUUCCAUUACAAAAUGGAUCGAAGUUUCAUUAAACGUUUUUCCAAACAUUUUAACAACACGGGUGUUGAAAUUUAUACAAUCAAAGGAAAUCAUUUUGUUAUGAUUAAUUCUAUGGCAAUGCAAAAUGAUGGUUGUGGUUUUUGUAAUGCGGCACUGCGUGAUUUAAAUAGUAUAUCUGAAAAACUAAAAUGCCUCAAAAAUAAAGAUCGCUGCGAAGAUAAUGAAGUUCUACAAAAACAUAAAACCUACAAUCGUCCGAUUUUAAUGCAACAUUUUCCCACCUAUCGUAAAUCGGAUGCCGUUUGUAGAGAACAUGAUGCACCAAGUAUUGAGUUAUUUCGUGAAAAUUGGGAGGUGCUCUCAAAAGAAUCCACAGAUUUAAUAGGCAAACUUCUAACGCCGCGAGUUGCUUUCGCCGGCCACAGCCAUCAUUAUUGCUUGAAUAUAAAUCGUUUUGGCGUAGAAGAAUAUACAGUAGCCUCUUUCAGUUGGCGCAAUAAAAUAGAGCCGAGCUUCUUGCUGGCUUCUUUUAGCGGUUCUUCCUACGCUGUCGCUAAAUGCAAUAUGUUAGCGCAAAUGCAUGUCUACAAUACAUACAUAGCGGUUGCGACAAUAUUAAUAGCAACAAUUAUUUUUCAAAUAUCACGAAAAUUCUUGAGUAUAAGUAAAAAAGCUUGAAACCCACUUUACCAAUAAGGUAUUAUGAACGAAAAUGUUUAGAAACUAGCAAAUGUUUAGACUAAUAGUAAAAGCGGUGUUGGGUUGAUCCGGUCACCUUACGAGAUUUGAGAUAAGGGAAUGACACCAAAAAUUAGGAAAAAAUAUUAAAAUUUAUUUAAAAAAAAUAGUGUUUAAAAUCAACUAUAAAUCAAAUGAUUAAAGAGAAUUGAACAAACCGUCAG